UUCCCGCUCUUCCAAUGCCUGGCUGACUUCCCUAACCACCCAAAGGGAGGAGCCACCCAGUCGCUCAUUUCCCCAUUGCCUUAAUUUUCAUCUUUGCUCUUACUGGUAUCUACUGUUGUUUCUGUUUUUCAUUUGUUUACCUUCUCUCCCUAUUGAAUACAGCUUUCUGGGAUCGGGAAGCUGAUCUGUUUUGCAGUCUGCUGAAUCUGCAAUGUUUCAAAUAGUGCCUAGUGCAUAAUGAUAUCAGGAUCCAAAGCAACCCCGUUGGAGCCAAAGAUGGAAAUCCUGUGUUGAGAAAGACGAGCCGCCUUGUCAGCUGUGAACAGUUUACUUCUGGGUUAUUACAUGGAGAAAAAUAAACUCCCAUCUUUUUAAACCAU